rnacentral:rRNA from 1 species
CCUACGGGGGGCUGCAGUGAGGAAUAUUGGACAAUGGUCGGAAGACUGAUCCAGCCAUGCCGCGUGAAGGUUACGGUCCUAUGGAUUUUAAACUUCUUUUGUAUGGAAGCAAUAAGGUGCACGUGUGCAUCGAUGAGAGUACCAUACGAAUAAGCAUCGGCUAACUCCGUGCCAGCAGCCGCGGUAAUACGGAGGAUGCAAGCGUUAUCCGGAUUUAUUGGGUUUAAAGGGUGCGUAGGCGGAUUAAUAAGUCAGCGGUGAAACUCACAGGCUCAACCUGUGCCGUGCCGUUGAAACUGUUUAUCUUGAAUGCGGAUGCUGUGGGAGGAAUGUGUAGUGUAGCGGUGAAAUGCAUAGAUAUUACACAGAACACCGAUUGCGAAGGCAUCUCACAAAGCCGUGAUUGACGCUGAGGCACGAAAGUGUGGGGAUCAAACAGGAUUAGAUACCCCGGUAGUC